rnacentral:rRNA from 1 species
AUUGAACGCUGGCGGCAGGCCUAACACAUGCAAGUCGAACGGUAACAGGAAGCAGCUUGCUGCUUUGCUGACGAGUGGCGGACGGGUGAGUAAUGUCUGGGAAACUGCCCGAUGGAGGGGGAUAACUACUGGAAACGGUAACUAUUACCGCAUAACGUCGCAAGACCAAAGAGGGGGACCUUAUGGCCUCUUGCCCUCGUAUGUGCCCAGAUGGGAUUAGCUAGGAGGUGGGGUAACGGCUCACCUAGGCGACGCUCCCUAGCUGGUGUGAGAGGAUGAACAGCCACACUUGAACUGGGACACGGUCCAAACUCCUAAGGGGAGGAGCAGUGGGGAAAAAUGGACAAAGGGGGGAAAGCUGAAGCAGGCAAGACGGGGGUAGGAAAGAGGCCUUCGGGGUGGAAAGUACUUUCAGCGGGGAGGAAGGGAGUAAAGUUAAUACCUUGGCUGAUUGACGUUACCCGCAGAAGAAGCACCGGCUAACUCCGUG